GUCUUUUUUAUUGUCUCAAACUAACUCUGUCAAACAUACAAGCGUAAACAUCAAGACCUUGCGGCCUUGUGCUAAUGUUGUGAGUAGCUACGGCGGUAAAGCACGCAGACUCGCAAAAGAUUUGUAAUGAUCCUUCCGCAGGUUCACCUACGGAAA
rnacentral:misc_RNA from 1 species